CCUUCGAUAGCUCAGUUGGUAGAGCGGUGGACUGUAGUGUUCAGAGUUCCCCAAGCAGUGAUCCAUAGGUCGCUGGUUCAAAUCCGGCUCGAAGGA
rnacentral:tRNA from 1 species